rnacentral:rRNA from 1 species
GAUGAACGCUGGCGGCGUGCCUAAUACAUGCAAGUCGAGCGAACAGACGAGGAGCUUGCUCCUCUGACGUUAGCGGCGGACGGGUGAGUAACACGUGGAUAACCUACCUAUAAGACUGGGAUAACUUCGGGAAACCGGAGCUAAUACCGGAUAAUAUAUUGAACCGCAUGGUUCAAUAGUGAAAGACGGUUUUGCUGUCACUUAUAGAUGGAUCCGCGCCGCAUUAGCUAGUUGGUAAGGUAACGGCUUACCAAGGCGACGAUGCGUAUCCGACCUGAGAGGGUGAUCGGCCACACUGGAACUGAGACACGGUCCAGACUCCUACGGGAGGCAGAAGUAGGGAAUAUUCCGCAAUGGGCGAAAGCCUGACGGAGCAACGACGCGUGAGUGAUGAAGGUCUUCGGAUCGUAAAACUCUGUUAUUCGGGAAGAACAAAUGUGUAAGUAACUAUGCACGUCUUGACGGUACCUAAUCAGAAAGCCACGGCUCACUCCGUG